rfam:Scleroderma citrinum Foug A unplaced genomic scaffold scaffold_197, whole genome shotgun sequence.
GACCAUAUAGCUCAGUGGUUAGAGCACCUGGUAUAGACCUAGGAGGUCUAGGGUUCAAUUCCCUGUCUGGUCA